ACAGUGGACUCUGCCGGUAUGUAUACCGACACGCAUGUUUACGUCGACCGCCAUUACUUCUCUGACAAGUCUGUCAAAGAUAUAUAUACAAUUUUUGAAUAAAUAACAAAUAUACGGUUUGGUUUUCUCUCUAGAAGACUUCAAUUUCUUUAUGACACUACAAUAAAAAGGAGAACGAAGUCAAUAGAGGCUAUAAAAGAUAUUUCUUUAAUGUAUAUUCAAUGGAAAUAGACUGUACAAAGAAAAAUAAUGAACUACGACGAAGUGAAAAAGAAAUCUACUGCCAUGGUCAAAUUAAGAAUGAAAAAUAAACGAAAGUAAAGAAGAAAACAAAUAUAACCAUACCAAGCUACAUUCGUCUGAAUGAAAAAUACAGGUAUCUAUCAAUCAGGUCCAGUUCCACUCAUGAUCAAAUCAAUAGGUCAGGGAGGUUAUGGAUUCAAAUUGUUCAUGAGUUAUGGCUGAGUUUCUCCCUGGGAUAAUUAACCAGUGACGUCAUAGCAUUACAAAACUUCGUUGAACAACGUCAUUGAUGAAACUAAUUAUGCGGACAGUAAUUAAAAUGGCUCCUCAAAAACGGCGCCAAAAUUCAAAUGCAUUUGUUGAAUGUGAAGUUACAAAGGUCCCUAGGGAAAUUGAGUGAAAACGGUAACCAUUAAUUUUGUGAUCACAACGAAGAUUGAUAUACAUAUACAUAUAUAUGGUAACAUUAUAUACCAUAUGUAAAUCCAAGCAGCAUGAUUAGGAAGAUAUAUCUAAACAUUGGCGUAUCCAUCUAACUCCCUGAAACUUGUACCAGACCGAGAGAACAUGAAAUUGAUG